rnacentral:rRNA from 1 species
AUUUCUUCGGAAUGAAUUUGAUUAAGUUUAGUGGCGGACGGGUGAGUAACGCGUGAGUAACCUGCCUCUAAGAGGGGAAUAACAUUCUGAAAAGAAUGCUAAUACCGCAUAACAUAUAUUUAUCGCAUGGUAGAUAUAUCAAAGAUUUAUCGCUUAGAGAUGGACUCGCGUCCGAUUAGUUAGUUGGUGAGGUAACGGCUCACCAAGACCGCGAUCGGUAGCCGGACUGAGAGGUUGAACGGCCACAUUGGGACUGAGACACGGCCCAGACUCC